GGUUGUGGUUCAGUGGUAGAGUGCUCGCCUCACAUGUGUGCGGUCCUGGGUUCUAUCCUCAACACCA
rnacentral:tRNA from 1 species